rnacentral:rRNA from 1 species
CUUGCUAAAAUAUAAGAGGUCCAGCCUGCCCAGUGACCCAGUUCAACGGCCGCGGUAUCCUAACCGUGCGAAGGUAGCGUAAUCACUUGUUCUUUAAAUGGGGACUAGUAUGAAUGGCAUCACGAGGGUUGAACUGUCUCCUUUCUCUAAUCAGUGAAACUAAUCUCCCCGUGAAGAAGCGGGAAUCAUUUUAUAAGACGAGAAGACCCUAUGGAGCUUAAAACAAAUUAACACAUGCCUCCACCUACUUCAAUUCCUGAAUAAAUAUACAAAAUAUAGCAUCAUUGAUUAAUAGUUUUAGAUUGGGGUGAUCAUGGAGCAAAAAACAACCUCCACGACGAAAAGGAGUAUUCCCUGAGCCAAAAGCCACAACUUUAAGCACUAAAAAAUUAACGCAUCUUGACCCAAUUUUUUGAGCAACGAAC